CCUACGGGGGGCAGCAGUGGGGGAUAUUGCACAAUGGGGGGAACCCUGAUGCAGCGACGCCGCGUGGGUGAAGGAGUGCUUCGGCAUGUAAAGCCCUAUCGACAGGGAAGAGCAGAAGACGGUACCUGUCGAAUAAGCCACGGCUAACUACGUGCCAGCAGCCGCGGUAAUACGUAGGUGGCAAGCGUUGUCCGGAUUUACUGGGUGUAAAGGGCGUGUAGCCGGGCUGACAAGUCAGAUGUGAAAUCCGGGGGCUCAACCCCCGAACUGCAUUUGAAACUGUUGGUCUUGAGUAUCGGAGAGGCAGGCGGAAUUCCUAGUGUAGCGGUGAAAUGCGUAGAUAUUAGGAGGAACACCAGUGGCGAAGGCGGCCUGCUGGACGACAACUGACGGUGAGGCGCGAAAGCGUGGGGAGCAAACAGGAUUAGAUACCCCUGUAGUC
rnacentral:rRNA from 1 species